rnacentral:rRNA from 1 species
GUGUCAGCAGCCGCGGUAAUACAGAGGUCCCAAGCGUUGUUCGGAUUCACUGGGCGUAAAGGGUGCGUAGGUGGUAAGGCAAGUCAGGUGUGAAAUCUCCGGGCUCAACCCGGAAAUGGCAUUCGAAACUACCUUGCUAGAGGGUUUGAGGGGGGACUGGAAUACUUGGUGUAGCAGUGAAAUGCGUAGAUAUCAAGUGGAACACCAGUGGCGAAGGCGAGUCCCUGGAAAACUCCUGACACUGAGGCACGAAAGCUAGGGGAGCAAACAGGAUUAGAUACCCUCGUAGUCC